GCCCCCUUAGCUCAGUUGGCAGAGCAUCUGACUCUUAAUCAGAGAGUCGAAGGUUCGAGUCCUUCAGGGGGCA
rnacentral:tRNA from 1 species